rnacentral:lncRNA from 1 species
CACAUAUAUAAAAUCAAUACAUCUUUUUUUUUAAAGUGACAUUUCCCAGUUGGCUGGGUUGUCCACGUUUACAACCAGCACUGGCUGCUGCUGCUACUGAGAAAGGCACAGUGGACUCAUAUGCAUGUCAUGACUUUAAUGUUUACCGUCUUCACACAUACAUGAAAGCUGAUUAAGGCCCAGAAACUACAAAGGCUACAAAAUAUAACACGGGCCUAGCUGUUCACGGAACAUUUACGAUCCUGAUCCUUAUAAAAAGCAGCAGCUGUAGUAGUCUUUUUGACUUUUGUUGUUUAACUAGGCUGUACAGCCUAAACAAGGUGAAGCAGAAUCGCAGGCCAGAGAUGUUCCUCUUUGGGUAUGUUCUCCCUUAGGACCACCAAAGCAGGUCAACUACCUUUCCAGAGGCAAGCAGAACCCCCUGGUCUAUCUAGUCUACACUUAUAACUUAUGUGGCUUUGUAAGCUUCCUUAGCUACGUUUUAAAAAAAAAUUGCAUGAAUUCAGUAUUUGCUAAUCUUUGGAAUGUCAUGGAUGUCGGAAGACAUGCUGCUAUGCUUGAGACAAGAGCAUGCCAUCAACUGCCUGUUACAAGGUAGUUUACAUACGUACACACUUUACACAAACCCAAGAAGUUUCAGACAAAAGUUUUCUCUUUCAUAUAUUUACACAAGUUCAAAAUGAUAUUCACAGCAUCUUCUAAAUUUUGGCCAAGAGUCAAAAAAAAAAUGCAUUUAAACUUUGGAACUUGCCCACAUAGACAGGAGAUCAACCCCAGCAGUUGGUGGGGCAGACCCCUGAGAACCAAAGGGCUAGGAAAGUCAGGAGGAAUCUUCAGUUUAUGAACUUGGUUCAGCGGACCAAGGCUGAUGCAUCUGCAAGGGAUAUACACAGUUCAUCUAACUGGCACCGGUCCCCUCCAUCACUUGCUGAGCCUGCUUCUGUCCCAUGCAGCACUGUGCAACAGACUGAAAUAACCUAAGAAGUGGAGACAAGCACCAAUUAACUUCACAACAAACUUUAAGCCUAAAGAUCUCUUAAUCUGAAUUAGCUAUAACUGCCCUUUUAACUCACAGACCCAAAUUAGACACAUUCUUUUCUGUCUCCCUGCUUGGUAAUUAACAUUUUAACUCACUUUUCAAUCUCUGGGGCACAGUGUACAAAUUCAUGGUUCCAGAACUUAAAUGCUGGGUUUUUAAUCAGCUCAAUGAAGGUGAUAAGAAGACCCCAAGGAUGUGGCCUAUUUACAAUCAACCGUUCCAAGAGAACCCUAAAAAGGGGUAUAGAAGAGUUAGUUAAUACAUUAAAAACAAAUUCACAACUAUGCCUUCAUUGCCCCUUUCCCUGAAUGCACUCAGAAUUUAGCAUAUGAAAAUAGGUGAAAUUUUUCCUACAUGACAAGUGCUGGCUAGUACCAAAUCUUUGUUCUUAAACUUUUUUGUUUCCUGGUGGCAAAGAUUAAGGCCUUUGCUGCUGAAACUGGCACAAGUAUUUAGUUGGGCGAAGAGGUAAAGUACAAGUCUGUAUGUACACCCCACUAUAUUGUGCACUAAUAUCCAAUCCUAUACAGUUUAAACAAACAGUAUGACCCUACUGUUUCCCUUUAAAACCUUAAAAACAUGAAGUACACAAAAAUGUCAACAAGAUUCUGGAUAAAAAACAUUACUGCCACAGCUACCACCAAGAAACUAAUGUUGCUUUUAUUGUAAACUAGUACCCAGCAUUUCAAAGCAAACCACUGUCCAUUAUCAACUUGUUUUGUAAUUCCUUAGACAUGGCUCAGCAUAAUAACACAGCGAAACUGGGAAUGCACAGAACUCAUUCAGAAUACAGCGGAAGCAGUCAGUGGUGGUGCACACCAUCCAUCCCAGCACUCAGGAGGCAGAAACAGUUGGAUCCCCAAGUUUGAACCAGCCUGGUCUACGGAGUGAAUUUCAGGACAGUCAGAAUACAGGAGAAAAGAGCCCCUUUAAGGCAUCAUGACAGUACAUCUCUCACCUUGUGAUCUGUUCCUGGAUUGCCUCAGUGUUCGCCUCAGCAAAAAGAGACGGGAUCUCACAGUGCAGCUCUGGCUAGAUUCAAACGCAGAGAUGGCUAGGCCUGUGCUCCCCAUGCUGGGGUUGAAGAAAGGUGAGCACCACUGUGCUGGGCAGCACUGCUGUUUCUCAAGCCUCCUUUCUCUGAAAGGGAUAGGUAGCUGUUGAUAUUUACAUAUAAGAAACUUGUUCAAGAUUGUGAGCUGUACAAAUGUGCAGCUGCCCUCAGAGUGAUUCUACUAGAAG